CGCAAGGCCGCGGCUUUGGCCGCUCCAAUCCUCGUGCUGUGUCCCAGAGGGCACCCCUCUGCGGCUCUGCUUCAAAUCCUUGGCUAUGCCUUGGACGGUACUCUAUCCAGUGGUUACUUGCCCUGGCUUCUGUUUGCUUACUGCUUAGCAGUUAAGCUUCAUUGUCUUCCUCUGAGGCCCUCGCUACUCGCUGUCCUAGCAUGCAUGACGAGACGGUUGGGCAAGUGAAGCAUCUCUGUUGGUGGCAGUGUGUGCCUCUCUAGACGGCGUGUGCCGGCUUCAUCGGGCCCGUGGGGCUUCCAACCAAUUACGGUCAGAGUUGCCGCUUUGUCCUCCCCUGUUCUGCUCCUCCUGUCCGCUCACGGUGAUUGCUGCUGUCUGCUUCUACCGCUUGCCCCUCUGCUGCUACCCUUGCUGCUGGGUUGCUUUGAAUGUUGGGCGCGGGUGAAUGGCGUUGAUGUUUGUUUGCUUGCUACGCUGCAUCACUUGUCCUGUGAUCCUGUCCUUACUGUCUGUGUGUCCUUGUCUGUUGAUGUUCGCGUCUGUGUGCCCUGAUUGUGCUUAUGCUGAUCUAACCCGUCAACUAAUGGGGCAUUCCUUCUGCUGAACCUGGUGUGCUGGGUAUUUUGCUUUUGUGUGUUCUUUUGGUUUGCUGUGAUUACUUUUGUUUGCUGUGCUUUAUUUUGAUUCCUUUUCAUUUUCGUUUUGCAGUGUUUUUGUUAAUGUAAACCUCAGCAUCCUUGGUCCUGUAAGUGGGAAUAUCUCCACUAGGGUCUGUACAUAAGCCGAGUCGUGUGUGUGUGUGUGUGUGUGUGUGUGUGUGUGUGAUCCUGAUA